rnacentral:rRNA from 1 species
UACGUAGGGUCCGAGCGUUGUCCGGAAUUAUUGGGCGUAAAGGGCUCGUAGGCGGUUUGUCGCGUCGGGAGUGAAAACCUACAGCUUAACUGUGGGCUUGCUUUCGAUACGGGCAGACUUGAGGCAUGCAGGGGAGAACGGAAUUCCUGGUGUAGCGGUGAAAUGCGUAGAUAUUGGGAGGAACACCAGUGGCGAAGGCGGCUACCUGGACCGGUUCUGACGCUGAGGCGCGAAAGCGUGGGUAGCAAACAGG